rnacentral:rRNA from 1 species
AGCGCGGGUGCGAGUCAAAGGGUGCAAGCCCGUGGGCGAAGUGAAAGCGAGUUUAAAAACGAGCAGUUUGGGGCGGCAUAAGAUCGUUGAUCUUAAGACUGACCCAGAGCAGUUGCGCUGGGACCCGAAAGGUGGUGAACUAUGCCUGAGUAGGGCAAAGCCAGAGGAAACUCUGGUGGAGGCUCGUAGCGGUGCUGACGUGCAAAUCGCUCGUCGAACUUGGGUAUAGGGGCGAAAGACUAAUCGAACCAUCUAGUAGCUGGUUCCCUCCGAAGUUUCUCUCAGGAUAGCGGGCCGACAAGUUGUUUUGUGCGGUAAAGCGAAUGAUUAGCGCACUUGGGGGCGUUUAGCCUUCAGGCGAUUCUCAAACUUUCAAUGCGCAAGGGUGCCGCUGCUUAAUUGAGCGGUACCGGUAAAAACGUCGACCCAGUGGGCCACUUUUGGUAAGCAGAACUGGCGAUACGGGAUGAACCGUAAGCAAGGUUAAGGCGCCAAACUGCCCGCUUAUAGACCCCACAAAAGGUGUUGAUUCAUCGAGACAGCAGGACGGUGGCCAUGGAAGUCGGAAUCCGCCAAGGAGUGUGUAACAACUCACCUGCCGAAUGAAUUAGCCCUGAAAAUGGAUGGCGCUGAAGCGGGCGGCCGACACCUUGCCGUUUGAACAAGAAUUUCAGAUGAGUAGGAGGGCGUGGCGGCCGUGUCGAAGCACGCGUGCAGACGCAUGUGGAACGGCCGCUAGUGCAGAUCUUGGUGGUAGUAGCAAGUAUUCAAGCGAGAUCCUUGAAGGGCGAAGUGGGGAAGGGUUUCACGCGAACAUUGAUUGGGCGUGAGUGAGUCGUUCCUAAGCCGAGUGGCAAUUGCUAAUUACCGGCGAAAGGGAAGCGGGUUGACAUUCCCGCACACGGAUGUGGAGGCGGCGACGCAUUAUUGGGGCGAACACGCUGGCGAUGGCGCUGGGCAGAGUUGUCUUUUCUGUUUGACCGCUUGCGCACGCAGUGUGGAAUCCUCUUGUAGGGAGAAACACGCGUGUACGGGCAGAGCGCUGGGGCUUUUCCAGCGUCCAGCUCGCCAUCGACGGCCCUUGAAACUUUGCCUGCUG